UACGUAGGUGACCAGCGUUGUCCGGAUUUACUGGGCGUAAAGAGCGCGCAGGCGGUCGUUCAAGUCGAGUGUGAAAGCCCCCGGCUCAACUGGGGAGGGUCAUUCGAUACUGAUCGACUGGAAGGCAGGAGAGGGAGGUGGAAUUUCCGGUGUAGCGGUGAAAUGCGUAGAUAUCGGAAGGAACAUCAGUGGCGAAGGCGACCUCCUGGACUAAUACUGACACUUAGGUGCGAAAGCGUGGGGAGCAAACAGG
rnacentral:rRNA from 1 species